GACGAACGCUGGCGGCGUGCCUAAUACAUGCAAGUUGAGCGCUGAAGGUUGGUCCUUGUACCAACUGGAUGAGCAGCGAACGGGUGAGUAACGCGUGGGGAAUCUGCCUUUGAGCGGGGGACAACAUUUGGAAACGAAUGCUAAUACCGCAUAAAAACUUUAAACACAAGUUUUAAGUUUGAAAGAUGCAAUUGCAUCACUCAAAGAUGAUCCCGCGUUGUAUUAGCUAGUUGGUGAGGUAAAGGCUCACCAAGGCGAUGAUACAUAGCCGACCUGAGAGGGUGAUCGGCCACAUUGGGAGUGAGACACGGCCCAAACUCCUACGGGAGGCAGCGGUAGGGAAUCUUCGGCAAUGGACGAAAGUCUGACCGAGCAACGCCGCGUGAGUGAAGAAGGUUUUCGGAUCGUAAAACUCUGUUGGUAGAGAAGAACGUUGGUGAGAGUGGAAAGCUCAUCAAGUGACGGUAACUACCCAGAAAGGGACGGCUAACUACGUG
rnacentral:rRNA from 1 species